rnacentral:rRNA from 1 species
UUUAUGGAGAGUUUGAUCCUGGCUCAGGAUGAACGCUGGCGGCGUGCCUAAUACAUGCAAGUCGAGCGAACGGACGAGAAGCUUGCUUCUCUGAUGUUAGCGGCGGACGGGUGAGUAACACGUGGAUAACCUACCUAUAAGACUGGGAUAACUUCGGGAAACCGGAGCUAAUACCGGAUAAUAUUUUGAACCGCAUGGUUCAAAAGUGAAAGACGGUCUUGCUGUCACUUAUAGAUGGAUCCGCGCUGCAUUAGCUAGUUGGUAAGGUAACGGCUUACCAAGGCAACGAUGCAUAGCCGACCUGAGAGGGUGAUCGGCCACACUGGAACUGAGACACGGUCCAGACUCCUACGGGAGGCAGCAGUAGGGAAUCUUCCGC